rnacentral:lncRNA from 1 species
AACAUAUGAAAUAACAAGUAUUUAACAUAAUAAUACAUACAUAUAUUUCUAUACAAAUAAUACAUACAUAUAUUUCUAUACAAAUAAUACAUACAUAUAUUUCUAUACAACAUAAUCACAUAUAAAAUAAUAAGUAUUUAACAUAUAAAAUAACAAGUAUUUAACAUAAUCACAUAUGAAAUAAUAAUUAUAAAUAAUACAUACAUAUAUUUCUAUACAACAUAAUCACAUAUAAAAUAAUAAGUAUUUAACAUAUGAAAUAACAAGUAUUUAACAUAAUCACAUAUAAAAUAACAAUUAUAAAUAAUACAUAUAUAUAUUUCUAUACAAAUAAUACAUACAUAUAUUUCACUAAAAAAAUAAAUUACUAAAGUAAAAAAAAGAAAUCUGCAAUCCCGGCCCAGCCCGCGACUCCCUCUCCUCUCCCCUCCUCUCUCCCUCUCUCCCUCUCUCUGGCAGGUGGGCCCCACGUGUCGGGGCUAUCCCUAACCUCGCGCCGCG